rnacentral:rRNA from 1 species
AGAGUUUGAUCCUGGCUCAGGACGAACGCUGGCGGCGUGCCUAAUACAUGCAAGUCGAGCGAGGGUCUUCGGACCCUAGCGGCGGACGGGUGAGUAACACGUAGGCAACCUGCCUGUAAGAUCGGGAUAACUACCGGAAACGGUAGCUAAGACCGGAUAACUAAGCGGAAUGCAUGUUCGGCUUAUGAAACACGGCGCAA